UGGGGAAUAUUGCACAAUGGGCGCAAGCCUGAUGCAGCGACGCCGCGUGAGGGAUGGAGGCCUUCGGGUUGUAAACCUCUUUCGCCAGUGAAGCAGGCCUGUCCCUUGUGGGUGGGUUGACGGUAGCUGGAUAAGAAGCGCCGGCUAACUACGUGCCAGCAGCCGCGGUGAUACGUAGGGUGCGAGCGUUGUCCGGAUUUAUUGGGCGUAAAGGGCUCGUAGGUGGUUGAUCGCGUCGGAAGUGUAAUCUUGGGGCUUAACCCUGAGCGUGCUUUCGAUACGGGUUGACUUGAGGAAGGUAGGGGAGAAUGGAAUUCCUGGUGGAGCGGUGGAAUGCGCAGAUAUCAGGAGGAACACCAGUGGCGAAGGCGGUUCUCUGGGCCUUUCCUGACGCUGAGGAGCGAAAGCGUGGGGAGCGAACAGGCUUAGAUACCCUGGUAGUCCACGCUGUAAACGGUGGGUACUAGGUGUGGGGUCCAUUCCACGGGUUCCGUGCCGUAGCUAACGCUUUAAGUACCCCGCCUGGGGAGUACGGCCGCAAGGCUA
rnacentral:rRNA from 1 species